rnacentral:tRNA from 1 species
ACUACUUUGGCAGAUGAUAUGUGUUGGAUUUAGGAUCCUUUAAAAUAGAUUAGUUCUAUAGGUAGUU